UACGGAGGGUGCAAGCGUUGUCCGGAAUCACUGGGCGUAAAGGGCGCGUAGGCGGCCUGGUAAGUAGGGGGUGAAAUCCUGCGGCUUAACCGCAGGGCUGCCUUCUAAACUGUCAGGCUUGAGCACGGUAGAGGCAGAUGGAAUUCCCGGUGUAGCGGUGGAAUGUGUAGAGAUCGGGAAGAACAUCAGUGGCGAAGGCGGUCUGCUGGGCCGUUGCUGACGCUGAGGCGCGACAGCGUGGGGAGCAAACAGG
rnacentral:rRNA from 1 species